rnacentral:rRNA from 1 species
GACAGCAGUCAUAUCAGCCUGUUACUCACAACUGGCAGCCUACAGAAGCUCAGCAGGUGUGAGCCUGGUCAGUACCUGGUUGGGAGACCUCAUGGGAAAAACUAAGGUUGCUCCCG